CCUACGGGGGGCAGCAGUGGGGAAUCUUCCGCAAUGGGCGAAAGCCUGACGGAGCAACGCCGCGUGAUCGAAUGAAGGCCUUCGGGUUGUAAACCUCUUUUGUCGGAGAACAAAACCCGGGACGUGUCCCGGACUGCGUGUAUCCGAAGAAAAAGCAUCGGCUAACUCCGUGCCAGCAGCCGCGGUAAUACGGAGGAUGCGAGCGUUAUCCGGAUUUAUUGGGUUUAAGGGGUGCGUAGGCGGUCCGUUAAGUCAGCGGUAAAAUGUCGGGGCUCAACCCCGUCGAGCCGUUGAAACUGGCAGACUUGAGUACAGUAGAGGUGGGCGGAAUUCGUGGUGUAGCGGUGAAAUGCAUAGAUAUCACGAAGAACUCCGAUUGCGAAGGCAGCUCACUGGACUGCAACUGACGCUGAUGCUCGAAAGUGUGGGUAUCAAACAGGAUUAGAUACCCUGGUAGUC
rnacentral:rRNA from 1 species